UCCGUAGGGUGCGAGCGUUAAUCGGAAUUACUGGGCGUAAAGCGUGCGUAGGCGGUUCUCCAAGUCCGUUGUGAAAGCCCCGGGCUCAACCUGGGAAUGGCAGUGGAAACUAGGGGACUGGAAUCUGGCAGAGGGGGGUGGAACGCCGCGUGUAGCAGUGAAAUGCGUAGAGAUGCGGCGGAACACCGAUGGCGAAGGCAGCCCCCUGGGCUGAGAUUGACGCUCAGGCACGAAAGCGUGGGGAGCAAACAGG
rnacentral:rRNA from 1 species